AAAAUCAACUGAAGGUCAAUAUGUUUCCAAAAUGGAGUUAUUUGAGUUUGGUCUGGUUUAUGUCUUUAGCACAAGUAAAUAAACUCAACAUAUAUACAUGGAUUGAAACUAUGUACACUAGACGAGGAUUUCGUCUGAAAAAGACUCAUUACUGCCACUCGAAUAAAAUAGUUUUUUUCUGAUUUAGGACAGGUACAUUAUAACAUACAUACAGAGUCUAUAGCGAUGUUAGCAUUUUAGCUGAAUCUCGUUAUUCUUCCUAACCUGGAACAUUGGUGGAACAGUACAACAGAAGAACGAACUGUAAAAAUCAGCUAAAAAAGGCUCAACUCAUCAGAUGGAUAUAAAUAGAAAUACAUCUAACAAAAAAUAAGAGUGGACGUGGCCGGAUACUUAUAUAUCCCAACAGCAAAAUAACACUACAUAUAGAUCUGAGAGUACUCGCAGUUACUGACAGCUAGUUCAAAGUCAGUUAAAACUAAUAAAAAAUCAUGCAUCUAAGACUAAAUAAAACGUUUCUUAUAGAAUGGUUAUAAUAACAUUUUUUCAAUGUUAAGGUUCACAAUUACUAUGAUCAAAAUUGCACCACGA
rnacentral:lncRNA from 1 species